rnacentral:rRNA from 1 species
CCUACGGGUGGCAGCAGUGGGGAAUAUUGGACAAUGGGCGAAAGCCUGAUCCAGCCAUGCCGCGUGUGUGAAGAAGGCCUUCGGGUUGUAAAGCACUUUCAGUGGGGAAGAAAGCCUGGGGGCUAAUACCCUCGAGGAAGGACAUCACCCACAGAAGAAGCACCGGCUAACUCCGUGCCAGCAGCCGCGGUAAUACGGAGGGUGCGAGCGUUAAUCGGAAUUACUGGGCGUAAAGCGCGCGUAGGCGGUCUGAUAAGCCGGUUGUGAAAGCCCCGGGCUCAACCUGGGAACGGCAUCCGGAACUGUCAGGCUAGAGUGUAGGAGAGGAAGGUAGAAUUCCCGGUGUAGCGGUGAAAUGCGUAGAGAUCGGGAGGAAUACCAGUGGCGAAGGCGGCCUUCUGGACUGACACUGACGCUGAGGUGCGAAAGCGUGGGUAGCAAACAGGAUUAGAUACCCGUGUAGUC